rnacentral:rRNA from 1 species
AAGCUCGUAGUUGAACCUUGGGCCUGGCUGGCCGGUCCGCCUCACCGCGUGUACUGGUCCGGCCGGGCCUUUCCCUCUGUGGAACCUCAUGCCCUUCACUGGGUGUGGCGGGGAAACAGGACUUUUACUUUGAAAAAAUUAGAGUGCUCCAGGCAGGCCUAUGCUCGAAUACAUUAGCAUGGAAUAAUAAAAUAGGACGUGUGGUUCUAUUUUGUUGGUUUCUAGGACCGCCGUAAUAAUUAAUAGGGACAGUCGGGGGCAUCAGUAUUCAAUUGUCAGAGGUGAAAUUCUUGGAUUUAUUGAAGACUAACUACUGCGAAAGCAUUUGCCAAGGAUGUUUUCAUUAAUCAGGAACGAAAGUUAGGGGAUCGAAGACGAUCAGAUACCGUCGUAGUCUUAACCAUAGACUAUGCCGACUAGGGAUCGGACGAUGUUAUUUUUUGACGCGUUCGG